UUUCUUUUCCAAGGACUUUUACAAGUGGAUUGAUGUUUGACUAAAUCAGACUCUGGACUGUGCUGCCAGUUUUCACUGCCUACUCACUGUGGGGGCUGUGGAGUAAUUCUAACAAAAAAGACUGUCUACUAAAAAGAAUAAAACUUCAAAUAGGAAAGACCGCAUCCCCUUUUCUAAUGAGGAAGUCAGAAAAUAAGACGAGAUUUGGCAAGCCCCAACUUGAGAAAUGGAAGCAAAGGAUGUAACUAGAAACCAUCUCAGAAAUCUAAUCAGCCUCACAGGCCUACAUAAAUCAGCAAAAGGAAAUUUGGCCUGGCAGAAGAGACAGAUCACAGAUCACAGCUGCAGAAUCUAAAAUUCCUGAUCAAACUGAUCAACAAUGUAAAGAAGCACAUACAUUUGUAAAAGGUUCAGUGGCUUUAUCUUGGGAUCUUUCUAAAUAAAGAAUCCCUCUACCAGAUCCAGAAUUUGUAAUUUAUUAUUAAUAAGAAUAAAUAUUUCAGUGUCUGUGCAUGUUCAUUUGCGUAUCUGAAGAGGUUAGUGAUGAACACUUAAAGCUAGCGGUUUGG